CUUUUUGCUCACCCCACCUGGUACUCCAUGUCGUAGCUGGGCAGGAUGAUCCGCCCGUGCUUCCACUCGCCGCCCUGGUCCUCACGGAUGACCCACAGCAACUUGCUCUCCUGGCUGGCUUCCCGCACCACCUGCAGCGCCACCCCGCGGCCGCCCGUGGCCUGUUAUCUAGUGAGGGAGAAUGAGACAGCUAUAAAGAUACCAGCCACUGAACACUCCAUCAAGGGAUCCCACAGAAGACACAUCCCUCCAUUACUUGCUUCUUGGUUCAUACCAAAACCAGGGAACUAAAGAAUCAUCAAGGGCCCCUGGUGGUUGCUCUCAUGUGAGUGUCCAAAGCACUGGAGCAGUGUUGUCCAAUACAUUCUGUGAUGAUGCCGUGUAUACAGUGACGUGCCCUGUCUAUGCACUGACCAAUACAGUGUAGCUACUGUGCCCUUGGAAUGUGGCUGGUGGGACAGCAGAACCGAAGUUUUGGCUGUAAUCAUUUUAAUUAAUUAAAAUAAAAUUGCCACACAUGGCUCAUGGCUACAA
rnacentral:lncRNA from 10 species